rnacentral:rRNA from 1 species
AUGGCGUCCGGCAAUGCUGCUACUCCUGCGUUCAGCUACGAGCCCUCACCAUGGAUUGACUUCUUUGCUGGAUAUGAGCCACCGCCGUUACAGUAUCUACUACUCCGGCCUACGCAGGGCCAGCCCAAGAGGUGCCAAAAUAAAUCCAAGCAGUGGAUGACGCUUAGGGCAAAAAAACUGAAGGAAGACAUAUGUAUGUUGUUUAAAUCCAGCAAUGACAAAGUGGUAAAAAUGUCCUUAGUGGAUAAACUACAACAUCUCGGAAUCGAUCACCUCUUUGAAGACCAGAUUGACACCGCUAUGUGGCAAAUCCUGAAGAGUGAAUUUAGUAACUACAACCUCUAUGAAGUUGCCCUUCGGUUUCGCUUGCUGAGGGAACAUGGAUACUGUGUAUCUCCAGAUGUUUUCAAUCGAUUCAAAAGUGAAGAUGGAAGCUUCAUUAAUGAUAUAACAAAUGAACCCAGGACACUAUUAUGUCUAUACAAUGCAUCUCAUCUUCUAUUUCAUGGUGAGCCAGCACUUGAAGAAGCCAUAGCUUUUGCAAGGCAUCAUCUUGAGUCAUGUAAUGGUAGUUUAAAGACCCCACUUGCUCAACAAGUCCAACGUGCCCUUCAGAUACCAAUGCCAAGGACAAAUAAGAGGGUGGAAAUGCUACAUUAUAUCCUAGAGUACGAACAAGAGGAGCAUAACCCAAUCCUACUGGAGCUUGCCAAAUUGGAUUUCAACCUUCAGCAAAAUGUCCACUUGAAGGAGCUCAAAGCUAUUAUCAGGUGGUGGAAGCAUUUUUUAGGAUAUAUCGAGCUAAGCUUUAUCCGCGAUCGUGUGGUGGAGGGUUAUACAUGGGCCUCUGUGUUGUACUAUGACACAAAAUUUGAGCUCACUCGAAGUAUGAUCACAAAGAUGAUUGUACUAAUUACCACAUUAGAUGACAUAUAUGAUAACCAUGCCACCCUAGAGGACAGUUGGAAGCUACAUGAAGCAAUACAAAGGUGGGAUUGA